AUUGAACGCUGGCGGCAGGCCUAACACAUGCAAGUCGAGCGGUUGAAGGGAGCUUGCUCUUGUAUUCAGCGGCUUACGGGUGAGUAAUUCCUAGGAAUCUGCCUGGUAGUGGGGGAUAACGUCCGGAAACGGGCGCUAAUACCGCAUACGUCCUGAGUGAGAAUGUGGUGGUUCUUCCUACCUCACGCUUUCAGCUGAGCCUAGGUCUGAUUAUCUAGUUGGUUGGGUAAAGGCCUACCAAGGCGACGAUCCGUAACUGGUCUGAAAGGAUGAUCAGUAACACUGGAACUGAGACACGGUCCAGACUCCUACGGGAGGAAGAAGUGGGGAAUAUUGGACAAUGGGCGAAAGCCUGAUCAGGACAGGCCGCUUGUGUGAAGAAGGUCUUCGGAUUGAAAAGCACUUUAAGUUGGGAGGAAGGGCAGUAAGUUAAUAACUUGCUGUUUUGACGUUACCAACAGAAUAAGCACCGGCUAACUUCGUG
rnacentral:rRNA from 1 species